rnacentral:rRNA from 1 species
GACGAACGCUGGCGGCGUGCUUAACACAUGCAAGUCGAACGUGAUUUUUGUGGAAAUUCUUUCGGGAAUGGAAAUGAAAUGAAAGUGGCGAACGGGUGAGUAACACGUGAGCAACCUACCUUACACAGGGGGAUAGCCGUUGGAAACGACGAUUAAUACCGCAUGAGACCACAGAAUCGCAUGAUAUAGGGGUCAAAGAUUUAUCGGUGUAAGAAGGGCUCGCGUCUGAUUAGCUAGUUGGAAGGGUAAGGGCCUACCAAGGCGACGAUCAGUAGCCGGUCUGAGAGGAUGAACGGCCACAUUGGAACUGAGACACGGUCCAAACUCCUACGGGAGGCAGCAGUGGGGAAUAUUGCACAAUGGGGGGAACCCUGAUGCAGCGACGCCGCGUGAGCGAAGAAGGUUUUCGAAUCGUAAAGCUCUGUCCUAUGAGAAGAUAAUGACGGUAUCAUAGGAGGAAGCCCCGGCUAAAUACGUG